CCUACGGGGGGCAGCAGUGAGGAAUAUUGGUCAAUGGACGAGAGUCUGAACCAGCCAAGUAGCGUGAAGGAUGACUGCCCUAUGGGUUGUAAACUUCUUUUAUAUGGGAAUAAAAUGUUCCACGUGUGGGAUUUUGUAUGUACCAUAUGAAUAAGGAUCGGCUAACUCCGUGCCAGCAGCCGCGGUAAUACGGAGGAUCCGAGCGUUAUCCGGAUUUAUUGGGUUUAAAGGGAGCGUAGGUGGAUUGUUAAGUCAGUUGUGAAAGUUUGCGGCUCAACCGUAACAUUGCAGUUGAAACUGGCAGUCUUGAGUACAGUAGAGGUGGACGGAAUUCGUGGUGUAGCGGUGAAAUGCUUAGAUAUCACGAAGAACUCCGAUUGCGAAGGCAGUUCACUGGACUGCAACUGACACUGAGGCUCGAAAGUGUGGGUAUCAAACAGGAUUAGAUACCCCAGUAGUC
rnacentral:rRNA from 1 species